UCCGGGGCGAGCGAUGGGUCUCUGGCCGCGAGCUCCAAAAGGGAAUGGAGGACUUGAUGGAAAGAGGGGAUAAACGCGUGUGUCCUAGAAAUAUUGAAGACAAAUUUGGGCCAAAAGUAAAUUUACUAAGAGGGACACACACACACAUACACACACACCGUGUGUGUGUGUAUGUAUUUGCGUUUUACUUGGUCGUUUCCUAAUGCAUAGGUAAUGGAGCUGUUGGUAUGGUCGGGCGAAGGUGUGUGACCCCAAAGGAGCAUAAAUGAGUCUAAUAGGAGAAGACGUUGACUUUCAAUUCAACAGACAGUUUUCUUGUAAGACCCUUUGCAAAAAUGUGGCAAUUAAGGAAAUAAGGCCCUGGUACACAGAUAGAUGAGUGUCAUAUGUGUUCCUGAAAAAACCUCCUGUCCAACCAGUUAUGCAUUUGAAAGAACCAGGGCUUGUGGGGAAACCCUGUGCAAUUUGAUAAUCUUGAAAAUAAGCAGUGAUCAGCACGAAGUAGUCUUAAUGCCCUCCUACCCCAUCAAAGGAAUCUUAGAGAUGUCAGAAAAGGAUUCCUGGGUCUUGGAAAAUGACUGGAAAUAGGAAGAAGAGGUAGUGUAUCUUUCUGUCUUAAAUGUAGAAAGUACUUCUGGCACAAUAAUGAUGAGUUGGAAACGAAGGACUGUCCAACUAAAAGAAAAUGGAUUUAUAAAGGAAUAAAGUUGCAGGAUGUUUUUCUUAAGAAAACAUCUGUAUGCUUUUAUAUGAUCAAGAAAUCAAAGAAUUUAUUUAAUAAGAGAGAGGAGAGAAACAUCGUUGUAUGCAUGGGAGAUACAUCAACUGGUUGCCACUCAAACGCCCCCUAGUGGGGUCCUGGCCCACAAUCCAGGCAUACCUCUUGACCUGCAAUUGAACCAGCAAGCUUUCAGUUUGCAGGCCAGCGCUCCACCCACCAAGCCAUACCAGCCAGGGCAAGUUAAUUUUCUUUUAAAGGUCGAUGUAAGCUUUGUUUAUGGCCCUGAAUGAAAAGAUUUACUAAAUAAAUGAAUUCAAAAACAAAACUGAUUGCUGUUUCAGCCUUUUUGGCUAAGAUAAAGAAAGUCAAAACUAAAACAACAUUAAUGUGAUGGACGCUCCUCUUUUACAUCAGUCAGCAUUGUACUGGUUGCUGUGGAACAAGUUGUAAGUACACAUGGUCUUGUGCCUUGUGAUGAUUGUAAAGUUUUCUAAUCUGGACAACAGUAGUUUUUGCAGAACUCAAGAUCAUUAAAAUGAGCAAAGGGGGUCUAAGUUGUCAAAAAAAAAAUAGAUUUUUAGAUUGUCUACAAAUCCUAAUUGGGAAAAUUGUGUGAACAUUCUUCUAGCUCCAAAGAGUAAUUCAGAGUCUUGGAACUAGCGUUCCUUUGAGAAAUAGAGUUCCGUUGAGAAGCUCCAAGUUUUAUGUAACUAGGAUUAGGACUGGCUAGUAGUUACCUAAAUUUAAUUAAAGAUUGACUGUGAACUAAUACAAGGUUUUCUUUUUAGAUGCAUGUAGUUCUUACUUUGCACUGUUCCAACAUGCAUUUUUCACAGCUAAGUAACACCAGCCCCCACCGUGGUUGAAAUUCAGUUACCAAUUACUAACUGAAUUGUUACAUAAACUUUGCAGCUCGCUCUUUAGUCCAUAAACCAUUUUGCAAAUAAAAGAUGUGCAUCAUGAUUAGCAACCAGUUACAUCACUUCUUUCAAAGUUUGUUGGUGGUGGGUUAAUUUCCACACAGCAGUAAAGAAUAGUUGUAUUGCUUUCUUGUCUUCCUGUGAUAAACCUGUAUGACAUUUUACAAAAGUUGAUAAUCAAAAGAGGGAAUUGGUCCAGAAUGCGGACAGCAGUAAGGAAGCAAAAAGCGAUAACACUGGAAGUGAAAUUGAAUAUGGUUAGAUUCGAAAAUGGUGAUAGCAAAGCAAAGACAAGGCGAGAAGACCGAGGCCUACGUGAAGCUCCAUUACAAACCAUAUUUUAAAAGCCUGAUGAAUGUAAAAACUAAGGUAAAGUUGCUGCAACCUCUUUUAGUUUAAGUUGCAGUAGGAAGAGAAAGCUGCUUAGGUUUCAGUUGGAGCAUUUUCUUCUACUUUAGGUUGAGGACUGUAAUGAGAAACAAAUCCCAGUCAGUUUCACUAGCAUUCAGGCCAAGGUAUCUUAGUGCUGCACUGAAGGGGAAGGUAAUUACAAGGAGACAACAAGAACAUUCUAUUUCCAGCAAAGAGGCUGGUUGCAUCGUUUCAGAAUCCUGCAUGAAUUGAUUAACCUUAAACCAUCUGGUGAAACUGCAAGCUCAGGUUAAGGAUGCUACUGUGAAAUUUGCACCCAGACUCCAAGAGUUACAGACAGUGUUGACUCCUCAUAGUCGGACAAGACAAGUGUGAAAACUACAGGAUGUGGAUGGAAUGUAAAUGGAGUUCUAGAAA